ACUAUCUAAGAAAGACAGGAAAGCAUGAAAAAACGUGUAAAUAGACUAACUGAUCACUCGUGACUUUAGUUAGUUCAACCAGCGCUAGAGUUCGCUCGUGUAUCGUUUAGAGAGAAUGGGCGCGCUGGUUUACGUCGUCUGCAUGUUUACAUUUGAGCCAUUUGACACAUGGAAGAUUGGAACACAAUUUGAAAGCAAUCAUGGUGGGAGGAGGCAAUCCCUGUGUCAUCUGUAAAAAAAGGAAGACUACUUAUCCUGAAUUUAUCUACCAUCGGUUUCCUAAAGAAUCACAAAGAUUCAGCUAAACCAGAUGAAACAGGAAGAAUAAUAAUGGAUAUUGGUAAGUGUUUAGAUUAGUUGAAAUUAUUCUAUUUUAUAGUCAAUACAUUGCAUAUGAUGUAAAAUAUUGUUUGCUUGCAUCUACUGUAUAGUAUUGUUUCUUUCCGUUUUGAAUAUUGAUUAUUAUUUUGUUUGCACAACUUAUUUUUUCCCAUUGCAUGAUUUUCUGUUUUAUGUACUAGUGCUUAUUUUUUUCUAUUAAAAAUAUUUGAGAAGCAUGAUUCUUUUUACUAGUUCUUUUUGACAGAGAUUUGACAUUGUCAAUUAAGUUAUGUUGUGUUGUUUAUUAAGUUCUGUGUUUUAUUUUACUUUUGCAUGACGCUUUUUGGUAUAUGUUGGCUGUUUUGAAUAUCUGUUACCUGUUCUCUUGUAUAUUUACAAGCUGGAGGUAAAUGUAUCCUGAGGUAUGAAGACUUUAUUUUAUCAUUUAUAAAUAUGUAUAUUUUUUAUUAAUAAAAUUAUGAAAUAAAA
rnacentral:lncRNA from 1 species